UGGCAGAACAGAAACCUCAUCUGUUCUUGGUCUGAGGCCCUUGGUAUGUUUGGCUGCAACUUUUCUCGGCUGUGACGACUGGCCACGCCAGACCCCAGCUACCGGAUGGGAAGCCCUGCCUCCUGGAUGGGAGGUCUGGGGCUAAUCUUGUUGGCCCCCUCCCCUGCCUGAGCCGGCUCUCCUUGUUCUGUUCCAAGGAAGGAUGAGAGGUGAGUGGCUUGCCUCUUCAAUGGUCCUUUGAAAUCGUGCUUGCUCAUUGCAUGGAUCAGAAUUCUGAAGUCAUAGAAGAGCUGAGCAGGCUUCUCAUUAGAGAAGAACCUGCUAUUUCUUCACCUAAGGAAAAUACUAAGUUCCUUACUCACUUGGACUAAAACUCUGCCUGGUUUAGAGGAACAUAGCUUGAAUGCUGGCAAGAACCUUAGAGAUUGUUUGGUUCAACCCCUCAUCUUAUAGAUGAAGAAACAGAAGCCCAGUUCCUGGAUCCUCACUGCAUUCUGCGUUUUGGUAUUCCUUCCUUGCCGAUGGUUCUGCCUUGCAGAGUUGAUGACACGCUGAAAGACCUCCAGGAACUGAUGCAGAGUGAAAGGAGCAGAACCAGGAGAACAUUGUACACAGAUAUUGGUGGCACAAUUCUACUAGCUGCAAUGCAACGACCCAGGACAAUCCAGAGGAACCUAAGAGAAAAUGCUAUUUACAUCCAGAGAAAGAACUAUGGGAGCAGAAAUGCAGAAGAAAAACAUAUGAUCGAUCACAUAGUUUGAUAGGGAUAUGAUUAGGGUUUUGAUAUUAAAAGAUUACCUUACUGCAAAUAUGAAUAACAUGGAAAUAGGUUUUGAACAAUGAUACAUAUAUAGCCCAGUGAAAUUGCUUAUCACCUCUGGGAUGGGGGGAAGAAAAGGAGGUGAUAAAUCAUGAAUCAUGUAACUAUGGAAAA
rnacentral:lncRNA from 1 species